rnacentral:rRNA from 1 species
AGGAUGAACGCUGGCGGUACGUCUGACACAUGCAAGUCGAACGGUAAGCCACCUUCGGGUGGCCUAGAGUGGCGAACGGCUGAGUAACACGUAGGAACCUACCCCUCAGUCUGGGAUAACGGGACGAAAGCCCCGCUAACACCGGAUAAUAUCGAAAGAUUGAAAGGUUACGCUGAGGGAGGGGCCUGCGGGCUAUUAGCUUGAUGGUGGGGUAACGGCUCACCAUGGCGAUGAUGGCUAGCUGGUCUGAGAGGAUGAUCAGCCAGACUGGGACUGAGACACGGCCCAGACUCCUACGGGAGGCAGCAGUUCAGAAUCUUGCACAAUGGGCGAAAGCCUGAUGCAGCGAUACCGCGUGGGUGAAGAAGGCCUUCGGGUCGUAAAGCCCUGUCAGAGGAAAGAUAAUGACGGUACCCUCUAAGGAAGCCAACGGCUAAUUACGUGCCAGCAGCCGC